UACGGAGGGAGCUAGCGUUAUUCGGAAUUACUGGGCGUAAAGCGCACGUAGGCGGCUUUGUAAGUAAGAGGUGAAAGCCCAGAGCUCAACUCUGGAAUUGCCUUUUAGACUGCAUCGCUUGAAUCAUGGAGAGGUCAGUGGAAUUCCGAGUGUAGAGGUGAAAUUCGUAGAUAUUCGGAAGAACACCAGUGGCGAAGGCGACUAACUGGACAUGUAUUGACGCUGAGGUGCGAAAAGCGUGGGGAGCAAACAGG
rnacentral:rRNA from 1 species